CGGGAGGGCUGGGCGACCACGGCGGGACUUGUUCCGUCGAGGAAAGUCCGGGCUCCUCAGGGCAGGGUGGUGGGUAACGCCCACCGGCCGCGAGGCCAGGGAAAGUGCCACAGAGAACAGACCGCCGAUGGCCUUCGGGCACAGGCAAGGGUGAAACGGUGGGGUAAGAGCCCACCGCCGGUCCCGGUGACGGGCCGGGCAAGGUAAACCCCACCCGGAGAAAGGCCAAAUAGGCAGGGACGGCCCCUCGGGGCCACGAGGCGGCCCGCCUCGUUUGACCUGUGGGUAGGCCGUUCGAGCCUGUCGGUAACGGCAGGCCCAGAUGAAUGGUCGCCGCCCUCCCCUCGGGGAGGGGACAGAACCCGGCUUAUAGGCCCUCCCAGACC
rnacentral:RNase_P_RNA from 1 species